rnacentral:rRNA from 1 species
ACGAACGCUGGCGGCAGGCCUAACACAUGCAAGUCGAACGCGUGUAGCAAUACACGAGUGGCGCACGGGUGAGUAACGCGUGGGAAUGUACCGUUUAGUGGGGGAUAACUUCGGGAAACUGGAGCUAAUACCGCAUACGCCCUUCGGGGGAAAGAUUUAUCGCUAAACGAUCAGCCCGCGUGAGAUUAUGGUAGUUGGUGGGGUAAUGGCCUACCAAGCCUACGAUCUCUAGCUGAUCUGAGAGGAUGAUCAGCCACACUGGAACUGAGACACGGUCCAGACUCCUACGGGAGGCAGCAGUGGGGAAUAUUGGGCAAUGGGCGCAAGCCUGACCCAGCCAUGCCGCGUGAGUGAUGAAGGCCCUAGGGUUGUAAAGCUCUUUUAACGGUGAAGAUAAUGACGGUAACCGUAGAAUAAGCCCCGGCUAACUUCGU